UGCCAGCCGCCGCGGUAAUACGGAGGGGACUAGCGUUGUUCGGAAUUACUGGGCGUAAAGCGCGCGUAGGCGGGCUGGUCAGUUGGGGGUGAAAUCCCGAGGCUUAACCUCGGAACUGCCUUCAAUACUGCCAGUCUUGAGUUCGGAAGAGGUGAGUGGAAUUCCUAGUGUAGAGGUGAAAUUCAUAGAUAUUAGGAAGAACACCAGUGGCGAAGGCGGCUCACUGGUCCGAUACUGACGCUGAGGUGCGAAAGCGUGGGGAGCGAACAGGAUUAGAUA
rnacentral:rRNA from 1 species